UGGAAAUAAUGGUCAAAGUGCAUCUCUUCCAACAGCCAAUGGAAAUAGUGCUCAAUUCAAAGGUUUUGGAGCUUCAGCCACAGCCAAACAAAAUGGAUAUGGACCUAAUGCCAAUGGAAAUGGAGCUCAGUUCAAAGGUUUCGGAGCUUU